GGGAAUUUUCCGCAAUGGGCGAAAGCCUGACGGAGCAAUACCGCGUGAGGGAUGACGGCCUAUGGGUUGUAAACCUCUUUUUUCAGGGAGGAAUCAAUGACGUGUACCUGAAGAAUAAGCAUCGGCUAACUCCGUGCCAGCAGCCGCGGUAAGACGGAGGAUGCAAGUGUUAUCCGGAAUCACUGGGCGUAAAGCGUCUGUAGGUGGUUUAAUAAGUCAACUGUUAAAUCUUGAGGCUCAACCUCAAAAUCGCAGUCGAAACUAUUAGACUAGAGUAUAGUAGGGGUAAAGGGAAUUUCCAGUGGAGCGGUGAAAUGCGUAGAUAUUGGAAGGAACACCGAUGGCGAAGGCACUUUACUGGGCUAUUACUAACACUCAGAGACGAAAGCUAGGGUAGCAAAUGGGAUUAGAUACCCCAGUAGUCA
rnacentral:rRNA from 1 species